rnacentral:rRNA from 1 species
ACCCGCUGAACUUAAGCAUAUCAAUAAGCGGAGGAAAAGAAACCAACCGGGAUUGCCCUAGUAACGGCGAGUGAAGCGGCAUCAGCUCAAAUUUGAAAUCUGGCUCCCUUGGGGGUCCGAGUUGUAAUUUGCAGAGGGCGCUUUGGCGUCGGCAGCGGUCUAAGUUCCUUGGAACAGGACAUCACAGAGGGUGAGAAUCCCGUACGUGGUCGCCUGCCUUCGCCGUGUAAAGCCCCUUCGACGAGUCGAGUUGUUUGGGAAUGCAGCUCUAAAUGGGAGGUAAAUUUCUUCUAAAGCUAAAUACUGGCCAGAGACCGAUAGCGCACAAGUAGAGUGAUCGAAAGAUGAAAAGCACUUUGGAAAGAGAGUCAAACAGCACGUGAAAUUGUUGAAAGGGAAGCGCUUGCAGCCAGACUUGCCCGUAGUUGCUCAUCCGGUCUCGACCGGAGCACUCUUCUGCGGGCAGGCCAGCAUCAGUCUGGGCGAUCGGAUAAUGGCCUCUGUCAUGUAUCUUCCUUCGGGAUGACCUUAUAGGGGAGGCGUAAUGCGACCAGCCCGGACUGAGGUCCGCGCAUCUGCUAGGAUGCUGGCGUAAUGGCUGU